rnacentral:lncRNA from 1 species
AAUCUACAGCUACAAAUCACUACACUAUCAUGCUCUAUACUAACCAACUGUAGGAAAUGUCAAUUCUGACCCAAUCCAACUGGGACUGUAAGCAUACCCGUCCCUGGGACUGUGAACACACCCGUCCCGCCCGGUUGCGACUAUACAGCUACCUCCACACUAAGCGGUCCAUGGAGAGCAAGUCCAACAUGCACGAACGA